rnacentral:misc_RNA from 1 species
UUCCUUCGCGAUGCCGGUGCCGCGUGCGCCCAACGCCACUGGGGUCGAAAGGCCACAACGGACGCGACAAUCGUGCAAAACUAGCAAUUAGAGCUAUAAUGCCGGACGUUCGAAGGCCAUAGACCCCCACGCCCACAUGUUCCGCAUCCGAGGGGACGAGCAUGCACGCGCGGACCGUGGCUGCCACACAACAAGUUGAGGGUCGCCGGGGACGCGCGUGCUGCUUUGAUGUCCUCCUCACACCCGCGGAGGGCGCAAGGAGGAAAGGGGCACCGUUGGCAACUAAUUCCGUCACAUUAGGUAUGCAACACAAGAACCCAAGAGGCUUGAGAGACGCAUGGUCCUCGCAGCAAAACAAUGAGAGGUAGCCGAGCGCAAGCAGUUCGAUGCCCAAAGCAC